UAUCCUUCGUCUUUAUUUAUAAAAUCAUAAACAAAUCUGAAAAUUGAAAUCACAAACAAAUUAAAAAAUUUUAAAUCCAAAAAUAUUAGUUAGAAAUACAUAUGUGUUGCAUCAUGCAUUUAAUCACUUAGGGGCACAUCAUCUAGUUUUUAUUUUUGUUUUUUUAAAUUUUCGUACCUUAAAUUGUGGUGAUCGCUGGAGGACCCCAAGGUACGUUAAUUUCUUCAUUUCUUUAGAUAGAUCACGUAGUGUUAAGCAUCCAUAAUUGUUUAUAGCUUUUAUUAUAUCGUUGUGUGGAGCAUCAUUUAAAUAAAUCUUAAGGGCAUAACCCAUUCACAAGAUAAGGGAAAAGAUUUCAUCACUUCUUUCCUUGGCCCACAACAACUAAUUUCCUCAUUUUGCAUUUUCCUAGCUUUUUAAUAAAAUGAAUUAGACGUUAGCCCCUAGGAUUUCGCGCUCAAUUAGGAAGGUACCUAAAAGACGAGGUAAUCUUUAAUUAUUCCGACUUUUCGGUGUCUAAGGCUAGCGAAAGCUUACCUGGCCGAUUAAGGUUUGGUGUCUAAGCGCGGAGAUUGGCUUUUUGGCAAUGCCUGCUCCAAACUGGCUAAACCGGUCCGAAUAAUAAUUGAUUUAUCGAGUUUUUGGUGGUCCUUAACGUUAGGAGCAAGGUCUAGUUCUUUUUAUUAGGGAACCCUAGAAUUAGGUUUUUCUUUCGCUUUUAUACCCUUUCUUUUGUGUGAUUUAAUUUCUCGCACUUAUCUGCUACGUGUUUACUAUCUUGUUUAUGCGAACUACUUGGGUUAGGAACGAGUCAUCUAGAUUAGUAAGACCUAUAAUCGAGAUUCCCUCGUCCUCUUCGGAUUCCGAAAGCCUAGAAGUUCAAGAACCGAUAGUUAACAUGGCCCUUUCACUCAAAGAUCGUUGUUACUCAUCUCGUUCAAGUCAACCUUCAUGCAUCACCCUUCCUCCGGUAAAUGGGAACAAUUUUGAAGUCAAAGCUCAUCAUAUUAGCAUGUUACCUAAAUUUACCGGGAGUGAGGGUUAGGAUCCUUGUCUUUUCAUCCAAGAAUUCGAGGAAGUUUGUUCCCUCCAAAAGCUCCACCAAUUAACGGAAUAUUCGAUUAGACUUAGGCUCAUUAAUUUUGCGCUUAAAGAGAAUGCGAGAAAAUGGUUAUAUAGUCUUCCCGUUAAUUCUAUUUCCACGUGGGAGGGGUUUGUGGUGGUUUUUCUUAAAAAGUAUUUUCCAAAUCAUAAGACUACUCGAAUUACAAAUGAAAUAAAUCAAUUUCAUGAAAGGGAAAAUGAGUCUUUUUGGAAAUUCUUUGAUCGUUUUAAAAAUCUCCUAUCACAAUACCCCCACCACGGAAUAGAAAAAUGGAGACUUUGCAAAAUAGUUUACGAGGCCUUAGAUAGUCAAACUACUGCGUUAUUAGAGUCUAUGUGCCAAGGUAAAUUCAUGGAGAAAGAUGAAGACCAAGGGUGGGAAUUUUUCGAAGAUUUAGCGGAAAAGACUAUGUUGUGGGAGUCAACGAGGGAACCUAAAAAAUCGAUCGAGUCAUCUAGCACUAGGGGUUUGCACUCGAUAGGAAACAAUGUGGCAACCGAUGCCAAAUUAGCUACCCUAACUAAGAGACUCGAAUCUUUAGAAACUAGUAAAUCUCCCCCACAAAUGUCAACAUACCCGAAUUACAAUCACGCAACCCAACCCUCGCACGAACUUGAACAAGUACAUGCGAUGUUUCAAAACCCUAGGAAUGACCCAUUUGUAUCCACGUACAAUCCGGGUUGGAGAAAUCACCCAAAUUUUUCAUGGACCCAAGGUCAAAAUUGUCAAAUUCCUCAACCCAAUUUUCAAAUGAAUCAAGGGCCAACUUCCUUUCAAACUCCUCAACAAAAUUUUCAACAAAGGCCCAACCCAAACUCUUACCUAAAUCAAGUUCCAAAUUCAUGUCAUAACCCAAUUCAAACUCCUUUGAAUCCUCCCUGUUUUAAUGAUUCGGAUAAACGCCUUAAUUUUUUAGAAAAGAGUUUGGAAGCCUUAGUGAAAUCUCAAACUAAUUUGACCCAAUCUCAACAAACUUUCAUGCAAACCCUAAAAAUUUUGCAUUCUAAUGUGCAAGUCGUGUCUAAGUUAGAGGCCCAAUUGAGUCAAUUAGCUAGCACAUUGUGUGAGCGAGAGAAGAACAAGUUGCCAAGUGUUAGGUCCAAAGUAUCGUAGAAGGGGGGGGUUGAAUACGAUACUCACUACAAUUUAAAAUUCUUUCGAAUCUUGCGGAUAAAUAAAUUGCAGUCCUGUAAUGGGUUUCGUGUUCUGGAUAUUUAUUGGGUCGGUUUCUGAGGAUAUAAAAAUAUUAAACCAACACACAAUAUUUUCCAAGGUAUAUCUGUAUAUUGAUAAAUACCUCGAAGGGUGCUAUAAAUCCAAAUCCUAAGGUUGGCUACAAUGACCACUCCUCUAAAUAUUACAAGCCCUAUCCACUACAAAUAUUUACGGUACAAUCAUUUUGAGGUGAGGAAGCUUCUAGCCAGUGUUUGGGUCAUUAUUACAGAUGUUCCGCCUCUGUUGUAAGGUCUUUAAUUUCACUUCCUUGAUGCUCAAGGCGAUCUCUCUCUACCUAACUGGAAACAAAUGUGAAGAUUGUUACAGGUUAGAGGGUGAGCAGGGAAACAAGUGCUGCUAAAAAAAUCAGAGAUCAAACAUCUUUGCUAUUAUUCAAAAGAUUUGCUCUUGAAGCAGCCCGCUAUUUUGGAACUUGAAGCACCUAUCAAAGUUUGUGAUAUCUGUCAAACGGGUUUCCCUUCUCUCUUGCUUGGUUUGAUGCUGCGUUUAUAAAUAAUUAAGUUAUUUCCAUGACUUAAUCAGUUGCCAUAUUCCACCUGAUGCCAGGAUGUUUUAUUGAAGAUAUAAUGUGAAGCAAUGAAAUAAAAAUUGCUCGUAAUAUAGAGUUUUAAUAUUCUCCGAGAUUGAAGACGCAUCCUCUCAAUAAAAUGGCGGCGUUUCACAUAAAUUGGGCAGGUUACUUGUAUAAUCAGUUUCUCAAGGACAAAUUGCUCAAGUAGUAGUUUUGUAUUUCAUUAGAAAUUGUAAUUUUUUCAAGGACAAGUUGCUCAAGCAGUAUAGUUUUAUAUUAUAUUAGAAAUUGUAGUUUAUGUAUAGUAGUUUCUUCGAUUGAGAAAAAUUGAGUUGCGGAGGAUUUUAUGUUUUAUGUUCAAUAUAUGUUCAUCUAGAAUUGAUUUUAGUUGUACACAAAUAAUUUCAUUAGUGAUUAAGUAAUUAUUUUUA